CUACGGGUCGCUGCAGUGAGGAAUAUUGCAUAAUGGGGGGAACCCUGAUGCAGCAACGCCGCGUGGAGGAUGACGCAUUUCGGUGUGUAAACUCCUUUUAUAUGUCAAGAAAAUGACGGUAGCAUAUGAAUAAGCACCGGCUAACUCCGUGCCAGCAGCCGCGGUAAUACGGAGGGUGCAAGCGUUACUCGGAAUCACUGGGCGCAAAGGACGCGUAGGCGGGUUGGAAAGUCAGGUGUGAAAUCCUACAGCUUAACUGUAGAACUGCACUUGAAACUUCUAAUCUAGAGUAUGGGAGGGGGAGAUGGAAUUAGUGGUGUAGGGGUAAAAUCCGUAGAUAUCACUAGGAAUACCUAAAGCGAAGGCGAUCUCCUGGAACAUUACUGACGCUAAGGCGUGAAAGCGUGGGGAGCAAACAGGAUUAGAUACCCUCGUAGUC
rnacentral:rRNA from 1 species